rnacentral:lncRNA from 12 species
GUUUUUUUAUUCUAAUUUUUCUUCUCCUCCCCUUUAACAGGGAAGGACAAUCUUAAGGCCAAUUGACCAUGCUCUGUGUUUUCCUCAGAUGAUUUGCAUGUGAACCCAUGAAGUUUUUGCAUGGCCAUUGGUGCCUCCUGCUACUCCAGCUCUUCCUCUGCUCUUUCGAGGACUGAGCCGACAUGCAAAGAUGUUGCCCAGUUUUAGAGGAAAGAACCUGGGAGAGCAUCCACAGUCAGCCACUGAAGAUGAUUGACAAACUGAAGGCCAUGGGCACUUGACAAACUGAAGGCCAUGAAGGUAGAAGAGAGAACACAGUGCUCAGUGCCCCACACCAUGUGAGGGACUGGCUGAGUCUACCUCUGAGAGGUGAGAAAACCUCACAGAGGAGGUGGCAUUCGGGCUGUGCUGUGGUCUGAAUGGGGCCCCCAAUUCCUAUGCUAAAAUCUCAAACCCCAAAGAUAAUGGUACUAGGAGGUGGGGCCUGUGAGCUGUGAUUAAUUAGGUCUCGAGGGCAGAGCCUGAUGAAGGCGACUAGUGGCCUUAUAAAAGAGGCCCCAGAAAACUCUGUCACUCCUUCCACCACGUAGGACACAGCGAGAAGGCACCAGCUGGAACCCGGAAGUGCGAA